AAAAAACAAGUGUCCUAAUCACUUUUCGCCACCUCAAAUAAGAUUUCCCAGAUUCUUCAUACACUCCAAACAAAUAGGGGAAAAAAACUGUUUCAAUUGCGGGAAAAUCCUCAUGAAGAUCAAAAAGAACUGAACCCCACCAAUCAAGAAACAAAAAUCUAAACCCUAAGUCCAAAAAUGGACGAGAAGGAAUGGGGGAGACGAAACAUUGAAAUUUGCGUUGGAACCCAAUUUGAUUCUGUUCUUAACUCAGGAGGAGCAAAAGGUAAAGGCCAAUGGGGUCCGCCACUGCGAAGGUUUCAGACAAAUGCGCCCUUUGGCGUUCGUUGACCCAACGAUCACUUCUGAUUUGAUUCAUUUCAAUUUCUGAAAACCCCAAAAGCCGUUUCUCCCUUAACUUGGCGCACUACUCAUUCUUUUCUCUCUUUGAAGACACGCAUUGAACUCGUGAUUUCUGGGUAUCUUCUUCUUCUACUACUGCUUCCUUUUCGAUGGUUCAAAAUCCAACGCCCAUAUGCCGCAUCUCUGUUCCUGAGAUGAGGAAGGACCAAUCGGCAAUCUAUCCGAAGGUGAAGGUGAGGGAGGAGAACGAGCUCGAUGAUCACCCUGCUGCAAAUGAGCAGAAGAGAAGUUAUCUGUUGUCUUUGAAAGAUUUGGAAUCACUAUUUCUUGAAGACUUGUCGAGUUCUUCAGAACUACAUAGAGAAAGGGCAUCUUGUUCUGUUCUAGGGACACCAAACUUCAGAGCAAAAGUGUGGAGAAAGGAGCAUCGUGUUUCUCCAUCAUCCACUGCUAAAGUUCCGAAAGUUUACAGUCCUAAUGUAGUAAAGCCAUCCACUUCUGAAUCUCAAGCUAUGUUUGGUUUGCUAAAGCAGAUAAGAGGUGUAACAAAGUCAAUACUAGAGCCAGUUCAAUCCCAAUGCCUCGUGCCGUCCUAUCUAGCCCUGAAAAUGAUCUGAUGAUUGGUAAGAAAAACAGAAAAACAACAGAAAAACCAUCAGUCUUGAAGAAUCACAAUUCAGUUCAGUCCAGACACUCACAGUGUAAGACUGUCGCUAGGCACAGUGUCAAUGAAAAUCCCAUUUGCUUGAGGAAAUCCAAGGAAGCUGUCGUCGAUAGUAAAUGUCGAUCGUCUGGGAAGAAUAGAAACCAGAGUCCUUGUGGUGAUGCUAUCAUCAAGCAUGUAAUUAGCUUCUUCCAAUAGGGGAGAAAUAUAAGACUCGAGUCAAGGCUUGCACUGUCUAAAUGCUCAACAAGGCAAGAGGUUCCUCGUUCGUAGCAUAGCUUACAGAUGUUUUGAACUUGAAAACUUGAAAUGAAUGAAGUUCUAGUAA